rnacentral:rRNA from 1 species
AACGAACGCUGGCGGCAGGCCUAACACAUGCAAGUCGAACGCCCUAGCAAUAGGGAGUGGCAGACGGGUGAGUAACACGUGGGAACGUGCCCUUCGGUUCGGAAUAACUCAGGGAAACUUGAGCUAAUACCGGAUACGUGCGAGAGCAGAAAGAUUUAUCGCCGAAGGAUCGGCCCGCGUCCGAUUAGCUAGUUGGUGAGGUAAUGGCGCACCAAGGCGACGAUCGGUAGCUGGUCUGAGAGGAUGACCAGCCACACUGGGACUGAGACACGGCCCAGACUCCUACGGGAGGCAGCAGUGGGGAAUAUUGGACAAUGGGCGCAAGCCUGAUCCAGCCAUGCCGCGUGAGUGAUGAAGGCCCUAGGGUUGUAAAGCUCUUUCGCCAGGGACGAUAAUGACGGUACCUGGAUAAGAAGCCCCGGCUAACUUCGUGCCAGCAGCCGCCGUAA